rnacentral:rRNA from 1 species
CGCAUCUGUGCAUGCAGCAUAUCAAUAAGCGGAGGAAAAGAAACUAACAAGGAUUCCCCUAGUUAACGGCGAGUGAAGCGGGAAGAGCUCAAAUUUGAAAUCUUAAAGGGUUUCCCUUUACGAAUUGUAGUUUAAAGAAGUGUUUUCUGUUGAGGUUUUGGUAAAAGUUCUUUGGAAUAGGACAUCACAGAGGGUGAGAAUCCCGUAUUUGACCUUUACUUUCAACUUUGUGAUACACUUUCAAAGAGUCGGAUUGUUUGGGAAAUGCAGUCCAAAAUGGGUGGUAAAUUUCAUCUAAAGCUAAAUAUUGGCGAGAGACCGAUAGCGAACAAGUACCGUGAGGGAAAGAUGAAAAGAACUUUGAAAAGAGAGUUAAACAGUACGUGAAAUUGUCAAAAGGGAAGCGUUUGACACCAGUGUUGUUUUUCUGAAAAUCAAUUAAAGAACUGUUUAUGCUAAGUUGUUUAGACUUUAUCAGCUAACUGUUUAGUUUUGAGCUUUUCUUUAAUGCACUUUUCAGUUAACAAGUCAACAUCAAUUUCUUUUGCUGUAAAAAAGCUUGAGGAAGGUGGCUUGAGAUUCGUCUUAAGUGUUUAUAGCCUCUUGCCUAUGCAGUCGGAGAGAUUGAGGUCUGCAGGCGUAGAUCCUUCGGGGCUAAAUGCAUUUGUGCUAAGUUAUAGCAUUUUAUAGACAACUUGUUGACUAUGAUUUGUCUUGUAGCUUACUCGCUUAUGUUAUUUUACCUACGCUUAGGAUGUUGAGCGCAUGUCUCUCUCU